AAUGGGCGAAAGCCUGAUGCAGCGACGCCGCGUGAGGGAUGACGGCCUUCGGGUUGUAAACCUCUUUCAGCAGGGAAGAAGCGCAAGUGACGGUACCUGCAGAAGAAGCGCCGGCUAACUACGUGCCAGCAGCCGCGGUAAUACGUAGGGCGCAAGCGUUGUCCGGAAUUAUUGGGCGUAAAGAGCUCGUAGGCGGCUUGUCGCGUCGGAUGUGAAAGCCCGGGGCUUAACCCCGGGUCUGCAUUCGAUACGGGCAGGCUAGAGUGUGGUAGGGGAGAUCGGAAUUCCUGGUGUAGCGGUGAAAUGCGCAGAUAUCAGGAGGAACACCGGUGGCGAAGGCGGAUCUCUGGGCCAUUACUGACGCUGAGGAGCGAAAGCGUGGGGAGCGAACAGGAUUAGAUACCCUGGUAGUCCACGCCGUAAACGUUGGGAACUAGGUGUUGGCGACAUUCCACGUCGUCGGUGCCGCAGCUAACGCAUUAAGUUCCCCGCCUGGGGAGUACGGCCGCAAGGCUAAAACUCAAAGGAAUUGACGG
rnacentral:rRNA from 1 species